GUAGGUGGCAAGCGUUGUCCGGGAAUUAUUGGGGCGUAAAGCGCGCGCAGGCGGUUCUUUAAGUCUGAUGUGAAAGCCCACGGGCUCAACCGUGGAGGGUCAUUGGAAACUGGAGAACUUGAGUACAGAAGAGGAAAGCGGAAUUCCACGUGUAGCGGUGAAAUGCGUAGAGAUGUGGAGGAACACCAGUGGCGAAGGCGGCUUUCUGGUCUGUAACUGACGCUGAGGCGCGAAAGCGUGGGGAGCAAACAGGAUUAGAUACCCUGGUAGUCCACGCCGUAAACGAUGAGUGCUAAGUGUUAGGGGGUUUCCGCCCCUUAGUGCUGCAGCUAACGCAUUAGCACUCCGCCUGGGGAGUACGGCCGCAAAGGCUGA
rnacentral:rRNA from 1 species